rnacentral:lncRNA from 1 species
GUUCUGUUGUCUUUAUAAAGGAAGCCGCCCGGGUUCUCCCAGCACAGAGUCGGGAGCAAUUCCAGAGCUUCCUCCAAGAUGCUGCUGGUUGUGCUCUCAGUGGCCUUGCUGGCCCUGAGCUCAGCUCACCGCCCAAAUUAUGGUAAAAACACAAAAAUGGCGCGGGGGGUAUUGGGACUCUGCUUGGGGCUUGGCAGAUGACACUGCAGUGAGGAAGGAGGUAUGGAGGGGAGAGAAAUGAGAGGAAAGAGGAAGCUACAGUGGUCUUAAGACAAAGAUAAGGCCAGUCAUGUCCUCAUUGCAUGCCAUGUCCUUAUAUUUUAUUUAAAGUGCAGUUGGAACCCAAGAAAGAAUUUCAGCCAUGGGAAAAACAAGGUAGGGUUUAUGUUUUGAGAAAAGUCUCUCUGACUGUGCUGUGAAGGAUGCACUGGACGAUGGUGAGACUGGUACAGGAGACGUUCAGUUAUGAAGAUAUUAUGGUAAUGAAUAUAGACAGUGAGUGAGGUAGCAUUGCUAGGGGAUGCGAUAUAGACGAAGAUGAACACACAUCAGAGCUAUUUUAGAGACAGAGAAAAGAAUAGGAGAUUUCUUUCUCUCUACGUAGAGAUAGAGAGAUACCAGGGCCCAAGAUUCUCAUUUUUCUCCCACCCACAUUUAAUAUUUCAGUGUGCUGUGGGCGAUUUAUGGAAGACUGUAUCCAAAUAUUUUCUCCUGGUCACCCCUUUUGAACAGCAUGUUAAUAUAAAUCUAAUAGUUAAUGAUGAAAGAGGGCAGAAGUAUACUAAAACAUGAAAUACUAUAGCACUUAGCUUAAAUUAGCAUUAGGCUUUGAAGGAUCCGAGGUUGGUUGAUUCUCAGAAUACUAAAAUCCUUGCCAUCCCCUUACAUCUUCCUCCCUAUCCAAGGGCAUCACAGACCAUGACAGACAAGCUAACUUAUGAGAUAUACAGGUAGUUGUUGGAAGGGUGUCUUUCCCUGUAGAACAGUUGUGAGCUCUCAAAGAUUUGGGACUUCAUUUUUCACUUCAUCCUGUGCUUCUUUUCCUAGAUGAUUCCUAUGAAGUGUAUGCCGACCUUAUAUCAGAUGAAGAUAACUCAAGCCAGAGCCAAGAGCAAGAGCCUCAGAGACCACCUCCUGGAGGAAGACCACCUCCUGUAGGACGCCCACCUAGACCCCCUUCAGAGGAUGUAAACCUAGGGGAUGCUCCUGAGCAGCAACCACCCAGACCACAAGGCAAUCAAAAUCCUCCUCCCCCACCUCCUCCUGGAGGGCCCCAGGGACCACCACCCCCACCAGCAGGACCUCCACCUCCAGCCCCUCCUGCUGAUGGAGACCAACAGGAUGCUCCUGAGGAGAGAGGACCCCAAAGAGGAAGACGCCCAGAAAGAUCCCCUUCUAAGGAUGCUCCCCAGCAGCAACCACCCAGACCACAAGGCAAUCAAAAUCCUCCUCCCCCACCUCCUCCUGGAGGGCCCCAGGGACCACCACCCCCACCGGCAGGACCCCCACCUCCAGCCCCUCCUGCUGAUAGAGACCAACAGGAUGCUCCUGAGCAGAGAGGACCCCAAAGAGGAAGACAUCCAGUAAGAUCCCCUUCUAAGGAUGCUCCCCAGCAGCAACCACCCAGACCACAAGGCAAUCAAAAUCCUCCUCCCCCACCUCCUCCUGGAGGGCCCCAGGGACCACCACCCCCACCAGCAGGACCCCCACCUCCAGCCCCUCCUGCUGAUGGAGACCAACAGGAUGCUCCUGAGCAGAGAGGACCCCAAAGAGGAAGACAUCCAGUAAGAUCCCCUUCUAAGGAUGCUCCCCAGCAGCAACCACCCAGACCACAAGGCAAUCAAAAUCCUCCUCCCCCACCUCCUCCUGGAGGGCCCCAGGGACCACCACCUCCAGGGGGCCAGCCACAGCAGUAA